UCCCAUGUGGUCUAGUGGUCGGGAUUCCUGGCUUUCACCCAGGCGGCCCGGGUUCGAUUCCCGGCGUGGGAA
rnacentral:tRNA from 1 species